GACGAACGCUGGCGGCGUGCUUAACACAUGCAAGUCGAACGAUGAAGAAAAGAAUUGAAGCUUCGGCAGAAAUUCAUUUCGGAUUAGUGGCAGACGGGUGAGUAACGCGUGAGCAACCUACCUCUUACAAAGGGAUAGCCUCGGGAAACCGGGAUUAAUACCAUAUAACAUUGCGACGAAGCAUUUCGAUGCAAUCAAAGCUACGGCGGUAAGAGAUGGGCUCGCGUCCCAUUAACCAGAUGGUGAGGUAACGGCUCACCAUAGUAACGAUGGGUAACCGGCCUGAGAGGGUGAACGGUCACACUGGAACUGAGACACGGUCCAGACUCCUACGGGAGGCAGCAGUGGGGAAUAUUGCACAAUGGAGGGAACUCUGAUGCAGCGACGCCGCGUGAGUGAUGAAGGAAUUCGUUUCGUAAAACUCUGAUCUAUGGGAAGAAAAGGACUGUACCAUAGGAGAAAGCUCCGGCUAAAUACGU
rnacentral:rRNA from 1 species